CCUACGGGUGGCAGCAGUGAGGAAUAUUGGUCAAUGGACGAGAGUCUGAACCAGCCAAGUAGCGUGAAGGAUGACUGACCUAUGGGUUGUAAACUUCUUUUAUAUGGGAAUAAAAUGUUCCACGUGUGGGAUUUUGUAUGUACCAUAUGAAUAAGGAUCGGCUAACUCCGUGCCAGCAGCCGCGGUAAUACGGAGGAUCCGAGCGUUAUCCGGAUUUAUUGGGUUUAAAGGGAGCGUAGGUGGAUGGUUAAGUCAGUUGUGAAAGUUUGCGGCUCAACCGUAAAAUUGCAGUUGAAACUGGCAGUCUUGAGUACAGUAGAGGUGGGCGGAAUGCGUGGUGUAGCGGUGAAAUGCUUAGAUAUCACGAAGAACUCCGAUUGCGAAGGCAGUUCACUGGACUGCAACUGACACUGAGGCUCGAAAGUGUGGGUAUCAAACAGGAUUAGAUACCCUUGUAGUC
rnacentral:rRNA from 1 species